GAUGAACGCUGGCGGCGUGCCUAAUACAUGCGAGUCGAGCGAACAGACGAGUAGCUUCCUCCUCUGACGUUAGCGGCGGACGGGUGAGUAACACGUGGAUAACCUACCUAUAAGACUGGGAUAACUUCGGGAAACCGGAUCUAAUACCGGAUAAUAUAUUGAACCGCAUGGUUCAAUAGUGAAAGACGGUUUUGCUGUCACUUAUAGAUGGAUCCGCGCCGCAUUAGCUAGUUGGUAAGGUAACGGCUUACCAAGGCAACGAUGCGUAGCCGAACUGAGAGGGUGAUCGGCCACACUGGAACUGAGACACGGUCAAGACUCCUACGGGAGGCAGCAGUAGGGAAUCUUCCGCAAUGGGCGAAAGCCUGACGGAGCAACGCCGCGUGAGUGAUGAAGGUCUUCGGAUCGUAAAACUCUGUUAUUAGGGAAGAACAAAUGUGUAAGUAACUAUGCACGUCUUGACGGUACCUAAUCAGAAAGCCACGGCUAACUACGUG
rnacentral:rRNA from 1 species